AAGCAAGCGACACGGGCUCCAUUGUGAGGUUUCUCUGUUGUCAUUGCAGCGAACCCUAGAGAGAGACUGCUCGCUCAGUGCAGGAUCCAGGCCCAGCCAAGCCCUGGCCAGAGGAUGGCCCAUCCAUGCGGUGAGAUCAAAACAUACGGCGGCGACACCAUUGAGCUAAAUCCUCGGCCCUGGAAUCUGAAUUCUGGCACACCUGCCCUGCCUGAAUACGGGAGCUCUAAGGCUGGCCUGCACCUGCAGGUCCUAGUGGAGACUGGUUUGUCAGCCACACAGAGCUUCUCCCACAUUGGCAGGCCCUGGCCCACCAACCGGCAUUGCUUCUCCUUCCCUCCUCCCCUCCUCCCCUCCUCCUCUCCCCGCUGCCUCUUCCUCAUGGUUGGAUUUCUUUGUGAUGAAGCCUGGAGUCCCUG
rnacentral:lncRNA from 1 species